rfam:Oryza sativa (indica cultivar-group) chromosome 6, whole genome shotgun sequence.
AAAAACUUAAUUCCUAAAUUUCCAUGUCUAUCGUUUGACCGUUCGUCUUAUUUGAAAAAAAUAUAAAAAAAUUUAAAAAGAUAAGUUAUACAUAAAAUAUUAUUUAUAUUUUAUCAUCUAACAAUAAUGAAAAUACUAAUCAUAAGACAGACGGUCAAACGUUGGACACGAAAAUCGAAGAAUUCAGUUUUU